AUGAGAAGCUCUUGUCAAGGGUGGGAUGUCACCAAGCAAGGUCAGGUGACUGGCUGACUUCCAAGAAGCGGCAUUCAUCCUCAAGAAUCUGCCACAGUCUGGAGUCUUUCUCAGCUUUCCAGGUGCAUCAUUUUCAUCUUGCUACCACUCUAAAGUUGAUUCUUCUUGGACAAGCUGAUUCACACUGAACAAAAUUGCUGCAUGGCCAAUUAGUUGUGCAGUGAACAUGCUUGCAGCAGCUGUUUACAACAAGGAUACUUACAGCCGAAAUACCUGACAAAGUUUCAACUUCAAGCCCAGAUGUGAUGGUAUUUGGAAGUAGAGGUUUGGGGAGGAAGGAAGAGAGAGAUGGGGGAAGAGGGAGAGAGAGAAUCCCAAGCAGGCUCCACACCCAGCGUGGAGCCUGACGUGGGGCUUGAUCUCACCACCGUAAGAUCAUGACCUGAGCCGUAAUCAGGAGUUGGAUGCUUAACCAACUGAAUCCCCCGGGUGCCCCAGAUGCCUGAUAAUUCUUAAUUGUGCAAGCAUGAUUAAGGGUGUUCAAAUAAAAAGCUGUGAUGUAGGUAAUGGGGCAGCUGUUUGUCUUAGAGCCUCUAUUGUCUAUCUUUAAAUGUUUCUUCUUAGGCUGUUCAGAAUGUGCUUCUAGUCUCCUAUGUGGAGGGUAAAUGCCUGUCUGCCAUUAUUCUGGGAGUGAGACUGGGAGGGGAGGCUGGGGAUGUCAGCUUUGAAUAUGCGUACUCAAUCCCCCUGGUUCUGGGCACAGUUCCCCUGCCCUUGACUUGGUUUCCCAGUACAGAGAUUCCUUGGUUUCUCUGAAAGUUGCUCAACUGUAUAAGGAAGGCCAAUGACUUGAGAGACCUAACUACUACUUCUUACAACCAAUCCUUUUUAUCUUCUCCCGGUCACCCACCUCUCCCAGGGACUGCUGCUUAGAGUGAAGCCUUUUCAGGCCUGCAAGUCAGUUUCCACUUGACCACCUAUGUACAUCCUUCAAAAGUGUUGCUGUCAUUGCCAUCUUCAACUUGUGGUCUUAUGUCUUAAAAUAAGCCUCUUUGGUGUAGUUUCAGUGGUAUUUUGGAAGAAGCAAUAUUAGAUGAUGUUUUCAAUCUCCAUCUUUAUCUGAAAGUCACUGCAAUUGACUUCUUGACUAUAUAGAGUUUGAAGUAUUUAGCUUUUAUACAAACACAGUGACUUAUGGGGGUUUUGAUGUUUCUGAUACUUUAUAAAAAUGUAUGAUCAUACCAACUGGUCUUUUUUUUAAGAUUUUAUUUAUUUAUUUGAGAGAGCAUAAGCACAAGCCCAAGGUGGGGGAGCUAUGGGCAGAGGGAGAAGCAGACUCCCCACUGAGCAGGGAGCCUGAUGUGGGAUGUGGGACUCGAUUCCAGGAUCCUGGGAUCAUGACCUGAGCCAAAGGCAGAUGCUGAACCACCUGAGCCUCCCAGGCACCCCAUACCAACCAGUCUUAACACGGCUAUUGUGUUAGCCUAACGCUAUGCAAACUUCAGUAAUGUUCCAACUCUAUUCAGGGAAAAAUAAAACCUAUGGGCUUCA